rnacentral:rRNA from 1 species
AGAGUUUGAUCCUGGCUCAGGAUGAACGCUGGCGGCGUGCCUAACACAUGCAAGUCGGACGGACGCGGAGAUUUCGAUUGAAGCGUUAGUGGCGAACGGGUGAGUAACACAUGGAUGAUCUACCCUGAAGCGGGGGACAACAGUUCGAAAGGACUGCUAAUACCGCGUAAGCUUUGGUUGUUUAGAAAGGCCAAAGUAAAGGAGCAAUUCACUUCAGGAGGAGUCUGUGGCCCAUCAGCUAGUUGGUAGGGUAACGGCCUACCAAGGCGAAGACGGGUAGGGGGCCUGAGAGGGUGGCCCCCCACAAUGGAACUGAAACACGGUCCAUACAUCUACGGAUGGCAGCAGUGGGGAAUAUUGCCCAAUGGACGAAAGUCUGAGGCAGCAACGCCGCGUGUGCGAAGAAGGCCUUCGGGUUGUAAAGCACUUUUGACAGGGAAGAGGAAGGACAGUACCUGUAGAAUAAGCCUCGGCUAACUACGUGCCAGCAGCCGCGGUAACACGUAGGAGGCGAGCGUUAUCCGGAUUUACUGGGCGUAAAGCGCGUGCAGGCGGUUUUGCAAGUUGGAUGUGAAAGCUCCCGGCUUAACUGGGAGAGGUCGUUCAAAACUGCGAGACUAGAGUGCGAAAGAGGGAGGUAGAAUUCCGAGUGUAGUGGUGGAAUGCGUAGAUAUUCGGAGGAAUACCAGAGGCGAAGGCGGCCUCCUGGUUCGCAACUGACGCUGAGACGCGAAAGCCAGGGUAGCAAACGGGAUUAGAGACCCCGGUAGUCCUGGCUGUAAACGAUGUAGACUGGGCGUUGGCGAUGUAACAAUCGUCAGUGUCGAAGCAAACGCGAUAAGUCUACCGCCUGGGGAGUACGGCCGCAAGGCUAAAACUCAAAUGAAUUGACGG